GACAAAGCCUGAGCCAACGUAGGACAGAGAGGGAAGAAAGGAGGUGACAAAUUGGGUAUGUGAGAGGUCACCAGGCAACGUAAUAGAAGAUCCGCUGUCAUUCCAGCUGAAUGAAAGUUUUUCAGAGUUUGGAGUUGGUUGAGAGAUUCUCACAUCAACCCACCUUCCCUCAAAAUAGAGGAAAAGUGGAUUCCACCAGAAUCAACAUGAAUAGAAUGAGCCGAGAGUAAUCCAGGCAGGCCAUUGACUUUGAAAUGAGAGAAAGACAGAAAUGAGACUCCACAGAAACAAAUCAAUGUUGCAGAGGACAAGCUUUUCCCUUCCAUGAAGCAGAGAAAAAUAAAAUGUAUGAAAAUGAUGAAAGAGAAGACGUUGUGAGACAGAGUACAGGGAGAUAGCCAGGAAUUUUGAGAGGCCCUGAGGAAAAUGCGCCCCUGUACCCCAAAUUAUAAACAGUACUCAAAGACGUAUUUGAGGAAAUCAUCUAACGUGAUUGAAAUCUACGUAUGUAGACUUUUCAGUCUGACUAUGUUUCUAGGAAAAAAAUACAUAAGAGAAACACUCU